rnacentral:rRNA from 1 species
CAGCCGCCGCGGGAAUACGAAGGGGGCUAGCGUUGCUCGGAAUGACUGGGCGUAAAGGGCGCGCAGGCGGUUUAUACAGUCAGAUGUGAAAUUCCUGGGCUCAACCUGGGGACUGCAUUUGAUACGUAUGGACUUGAGUGGAGAAGAGGGUCGUGGAAUUUCCAGUGUAGAGGUGAAAUUCGUAGAUAUUGGAAAGAACACCGGUGGCGAAGGCGGCGACCUGGUCUUUAACUGACGCUGAGGCGCGAAAGCGUGGGGAGCAAACAGGAUUAGAUACCCGAGUAGUCCCUGUCUCUUAUAC